AUCUACUGCCAUAUCAUCCUGAAUGUGCCCACUUUCAUCUGAUCUAGGAAGCUAAGCAGGGUACCACUUGGUUAGUACUUUAACAGGAGACUCAAAGAGGGGGGCAGCAUUUGAGGUUU
ensembl:rRNA 5S_rRNA 5S ribosomal RNA